CUAGCGUCUUUGCAAUAGUAUCUUACAAAUGCCACAUAUUAUCGUGAGCAAAAAUGCUACAUCCAUAAAGGAUAAUAUAAAGCAUGCCAUGUCUAGCAAUGUCGAGAGUCAGGUUGUGUCCGGCUCUGGAGGGAUCUGCGAAGGUGGGGAGGUGUGCUUUAGUGAGCCAUCAGCAUGGGGCAGGUAGCCUUAACAGGCAGGGGAUAGGUAACUUUAAAGGGUGGGGGAGAUGGGAGGGGUGCCUCGGCGGAGGAGAGCAUCGUGGCGAGGAUGAGGAUGAGGAUGAGUAUGAGAACGGUGAGUAGAAAUGCGAGUUGCCUAGCCAUCGAAAUUGAGAAAUGCCGAUGAAGAACUAAGAAGGAUGAAUAGGAAGAAGGAAUGAAGAAAAGUAGAGAAAAUAAAUAAAAAGGAAGAUAAGUCACUCACCCACAGAUAUGAAUCCCUUGUCGCUGCCGCAUCACCGCCAUCGCGGCGUUGCUCCUCGCCGUGAUAGAUAUCAACUUCGUGGUCCA
rnacentral:lncRNA from 1 species